UGUAGGGAUUGUUAAUGCUUGUUCUCCUGAUUGGGAGCAUGGCAUAAUAGCGUUUCGAUAUUUUUUAUUGUUCACUUAAGUAAUAUUGUGUUGUUUAGAAAUAGAAAAUUGAAUGACGCAGAUGACAUAUUUAACAUACAGCUUAUUGAAUAAAAAUCAAAUUUAUAAUUCUUUAAAAUUUAACUAACUUUUUAAUUAAACUUUACUACUUUAAAACUUUUUGAUAUUGAAGAUUUUUUGUAUCGGCAAUAAAUUGAGUAUGUAUCGUAUUUGUCUAUGAUUAAAAUGGAAUUAGGCCUUCAAAAAGAGGCCUGCUUGGUCUUGUUGUUAAUGACCCCGAAUUUUGUACAAUGGGCUCCGAGUUAAAAUCACGAUCGGAGUAUGUAUCUUUAUUGACAUUGGAACUUGAAUUUAGCUGAAAGAUAUUUGCUAUUCGGGGUCUGUCUGUACUAGAGCAUGCCCGUUACAUCCGUGCGUAUGAUCCUGUAGGUACAGAAUAUAUCAUAGUUUGGGCCCGUUGAAUGUGGAAUGUUUUUUUUUUUUUGUAUUAAAAAAACAGUUCGUGAUGACUGACACAAUAACAUUAAAAACGGGUAUGACGUCACCCAUGUUAAGACAUGAAGUUGAAAAGUCAAUUAUUGUAAUUUAAAACUCAAUCGUAAUUUAUAACGGCUCGAUUGGCUGGAUACAGGACGGUGGUAUCUACCCGAAUGGGCCGUCGCGGGUAGCAGCAAAGCGUUGCACGCAAUGCAAUACAGUUAGAAGUUAGCUGACGCGUGAAGUCAACGGCCUCAAGCGAUACGGAACAUGCCACGGAGCAUCCACCUUCGACAUACAUUGCGGGUUUACCAAAAAAUAUUGUUAACUAGCUGACCCCGCAGACUUCGUAGUGCCCCAAUCGAUAAAUAAAAAACCUAAACUUAUGUAUAAAUUAAACUUAAAAGAAACAAAAGGAAUCCGUCCGACGGGAGACACAUCAAAGAGAAAACAAAAUUGUUAUUUUUAUUUAAUUCCGAGCAUUUUCAUAUUUAUCAAACUUUUAAACCUUCUCUGAACUUCCACAAAUAAUUGAAGUCCAAAAUUAGCCAAAUCGGUCCAGCCGUUCUCGAGUUUUAGCGAGACUAACGAACAGCGAUUUAUUUUUAUAUAUGUAUAUAUAAAUUAGUAUUUAUUUUUAAUUUAAUAAUAGUUAACAGAGUGUAGUAAAUUAUCAUAUUGGCUGAGAUAACUAACUGGUCCACUUUAUAAAAAUAGAGUAAUACGGCAUUUAAAAUUAUGUAUUUAUUUUUCUAAUUUUCUAUUAGAAUCUGUUUCAAGAAUACACUACAUUCAAUAGUACCGAAGUCAAAUAAAAUAAACGAAGAAAUAAUGAAGAAAAAAUUCUUAAUAUAAAGACAACGCAUUAUUGAAUUGAAUAUGUCUAAUUAUUUAAUUGUCCAAUCAAUUUCCUCGGAACGAAGGAUUCUUCGGAAAGGAUUAAAUAAAAAAGAGGAAUAGUUUGAAUUCGGGACGGUCCACAAAAACGAACGGACGACGAAAUGUGCAUUUAAUUGAUUGGUUUCUGUGAAAUAUUUUUACGUUUUAAUCAUUUCAAUUUAUCCCUGCACUAAAAUGUUUUCGAGUUAUAUAAUAAUUAAGUUGAUUGUCUAUACUUCAUUGAUUUAAAUAGAAAAACAAUCUUAGAUUAAAUUUUAAUUCAAAACGUUAAAAAAGAUUUGUGAAUGUUUGUAAAUAACGUUACGUAUAAUAUACAAUACAGUAGCAAAUUUAAUUAAUUAUAUUUUAAUUUUAUAAUAUUUUAUUAAGCGACUUUUUAUUUUAAUUAAAGACAUCCAGCUCUAGGAUUUAUUACGAGUUCUUUUGAAGAAUAUACAUACACAUUAGCAGAUAUAUUCGCUCAGAGAACACAUUCGAUGCUCUCCAUGGAACCUCCUUCUUCUUCGUGCUUUGGAUUCCUCAAUACUGAGGGUCGUGACCACCUCCUCGCAACAAGAGUUUAUUCCGGAUCAUUCCACGCUAUUUGCUUUUACCUGCCGCCAAGUGUAGAGCAUCGUGAACUGUGAUGUCGAGGGUAGUGCGGAUCUGGUCAGUCCAACGUGUCGGGCCUCUACCUCGUGGUCUUCUUCCGUCCACCUUGCCAGUCACCAUUAGCUUCUCCAACCUGCCGUUAUCAUUUCUUAUAAUGUGGCCAAAGUAUUCCAGAACUCUACGUAGGAAGAUGGUAGAAAGCCUCGUCUUUAUCUGGAGUUCUUGGAGGAUCGACACGUUGGUGCGACGUGCUGUCCAGGGAAUUCCUAGCAUCUUUCGCCAGCAGCACAUCUCAAAUGCAUCAAUUCGGUCGCGAUCGGCUUUCUUCAUGGUCCAGGCCUCUGCGCUAUACAAGAAUCUGGAGAAAACUAAACUGCGUACAAGAUUGCUCUUGGUUUUCAGGGAGAUGUUUUUAUCCUUUCAUAUCUUAUUAAUUUACGCCAUGGCCCCCUUUGCCAUUCCGAUCCUUCUUCGCAUCUCAUUUUUGCACGAGCCGUCACAACUAAUGUUUGCACCCAGGCCUCCUAUUGAGAAGUGUUUUUUAUUGUGGUGGAUGGCGUCGAGUUCACUUAAAGUAUUGACUAUUGAGAAGUUAACUUGUAAUGCGACUGUUCUAGGAUCGGAUGAUCAGAAAUAGUACUUUUGUUGACCUAAACAUUUGGCACACAGUUUUUUUGUGUCCCGAAUUGAACUAACCCAUGUAUGUGACGGCGUUAACGAUAUUUAUGUUAUAUAGCACGUGCAAUAGGAGUGACUCACACAAACCAGGUGCGCCGGCCGUGUCGUUCCACUCGUAAACAACAGCUGCAACAGAGGUGACUCAUAAGCCAGCUGCGCCGGCUAGUAUAAAAAGGCGGAACGUGCCUUGAAAUGAACAUUCGUUGGACUGCGCUUGCCUGGUGCACUUACUAUAUCCUUGUUACGUUGUGUGAUUCAGUGACUGUUGUACGUACUGGUUAAAGUUGGACAAGUGUUAAAGUGAAUUGUUAAGAUAACAUAUUGUUGAUUAAAUCAGGAACCAAAAAGUGACAUCGUUUUACUUGGUGUUCAACAAGAUAAUGUCUACCCUCAAGCCUACAUCAGAAGUGAGAUCAGGACUCUACUCUCACUGGCGUGACGUGUUUGAACAUGUUCGAAGUACAGCAAAAAAACAUGAUGCAGAUCAGAAUACUAGUAGUGGUAUGCCACAAGAGCGUCAAUGCAGCAUACGUAAGUCGUGUAAUAACGUCUCUGUUACCUCGAUGGAAGAUCUGAGCCACGAAGAAAUCGUCACAUCUUACGUUCUGGCUCAUGUUGCCCAGUUGACUCUCGACUUAUCACAUGGCAUUUACUAACGGAAAUACAACACGUAACAAGCUAUUGCAAGAAAUUAAGGCAAGUGCAAAUCUCAAGUGAAACUUCGAUCGCAAUAAUGGAUCUGUCAUGACGAGUGGGUAGUUCCGACACGAAUCGUUUUUAAGCCAAUGACUACUGCUAGAGUUACAUGGCACUAGUACAGUAAACCAGGACAUGAGACUGUGAAUUGUCGCUGAAAUUUUAGAAUCUACUCGAUUCAAUACCAAUAACACUACACGUUCGAUGACUUCGGGCUCCAGCAAGCAAGCAAACAAGCAAGCAAGUUUCCGUGGGGAAGAAAAAUUGACACAUCUGAAGUCGUCGUGACCUGUAAGAUAAGACGUCCGGUGCGUUCGUGUCUGGCGAUGCGGCGGUGUUCGGGUUCCGCUGGCGGAUGCAGGUUUUUCCGGUGAAGUGCGUGCUUGUGCGUGCUUGUGCGUGCUUGACAAGUGUUCGCGGUUGGCUUCCUCAGUGUGGGAGUAACAUCGUGUAAGAGAGGUGGAACCCGUAAAAUUGUAGUUUGCGUGGUGGCUGGUAAGAUUUGUUGCGGUAAGAAGUUUGCAUGGUGGUAAAAUGUCUUGUGAGUCUGCACAGGUAGCCGGAGGUGAGACUUCCGCGGUCGCGGCCCACCCAGUCCGCGAGAACCGGGCAGAUCGCCUCGACGGUACGGAGGCCGGCUGACGGGUCCGCCAAACGACGAGACCACGCCUCCAGCACGGACUGCCGAUAUUGGAGCCCCCACGCUCUGGCUGCACUUGCGCUAGGGCGCGCCGCCUCGUAGGAGACUGUGAGGUAUCAUUGAAUAACUGCGAUCGCGCGCUGCCGGCGUCGCAGCGCGGCGACGUUCUCGUGGGUAAGGACGUGGCACCAGACGGGUGCUCCGUAUAGUGCCAUCGACCGCACGGGUACCAUCACCCUGCCUAUUUCUGCCGUGAAGCAGUGGUGUAUUUCGGUUUGAAGGGUGGGACAGCGGUUGUAACUAUACUGAGACCUUAGAAUUUCUAUCUCAAGGUGUGUGGUGCGUUUACGCUGUGGAUGUCUAUGGGUUCCAGUAACCACUUAACACAAGGUGGGCUGUGAGCUCGUCCACACAUUAAUACGAAGAGCAUAAUCAAACGAAAUUAGAUACGAAGUUUAAAGGGCCGUUUAAAGUAGUUGAAGUAUUGGAUGGUGUCGAUUUAAUUUUGACUCUCACACAUUCGCUUAAGGCUCGAGCUGCUACUUGCCUCACAAAAAUACAGCCUGCAAAACCUGAACAACCUCCUCAUCCGUGGGCGCCCGGCUCUCGCCUGCAAGUCGGCUGUUACGUGUGCGGUGAUGCGAGCCAUGUAGCUUCUGGGUGUUCCAUGCGCUACAAGAAGAAAAACGACACUGCUCCAGGUGCUGUGGCAGGUUCAACCAGAGACGUCAACGUGUGUUCCAGAGCUUCAGUGUGUUACAGAUAAGUGGUUUUGGCUUCCCCUUUAUGUUCCAUUCAGGGUCAGAAUGUAGUCUUAUAAAACAAAGUCAUAGUAAUUUAUUCAAUGGUAAGCGGUUUCAUGAACAAGUCACUCAUUGAUCUGAAAGUAACUUAGUCCAAUCCUGAUGGCAAGAGCACUUAGGGGAUAUUCAACUCGCCCUUAAUAGUGCACGUUGUCUAGUAACAGGGUUUACUCCAAUAGAAUAGAUGUUUGCCGUUCAGGGUAGUUCACUUGAAAUAUCUUAAAGUUUCAACAGAGUAAUCCCUCUAGAUUAGAUCUUGAUUUAGCACGGUCGAAGACUGGCGAAAACAUAAAAAAAAAGGCACAAACAGAAGCUUGGUUUAGUCGAGGCAAAGCUAAAGUCAAACUCUUUUCCGCUGGGGAUUUUGUUUUCGUAAGUUGACCGAAAAUGUAAAGGUCCCUUCAACAUUACUGCAGUUUUGGAAAACGAUAGGUAUAAAUUGAGACAUGUAAAUAGUUCUAAUAGAUGUACAAAUUUCCCCAUGAAAACUUACGUGAAAUACCUCGAGGCCCAUCAGGCCUACUAGAAAUUUCUGAAAAUUAUAGUGACGAUGACGUGACGGCGUACACAGAUGGGUUAAUUAAUCUUGGUCAUGAAACUGAUCUUAAUGAUGACGACUCUAUCACUGACAAUAGAAGCGACAUUUUUGUCCGCAAAUAGCGAUACAGCAAACAUAGUCUGUGGGUAGUGAUACAAUGUCUGUAAGCUCAGGCACCUCAGUUGCAGGUGUAGGUAAUGUAGAAAACGAUGGUCGGUCUCGCACUAUUUCUGAAGAAAUUCCGUAUAAAUGUUCUGGUUUAAGAAAUGUUUUAACAAACGCUACCGUACACGCAGAUUAGAAUUGUAUGUGGCUAGAGAGAUGUUAAUCCGGACUAGCAAAAAAAAAAAAAGAGAAAAAAAAGAAAAAAGAAAGUGUGAAGUCAUUGAAGGGUCUGUCCGGUCCAAUGGCUUGGCUAUAGGGAUUUUCAUCCAGAUUAGCCACAAGAAUUAGCUACAGGGAUUGCGAUUCGGUCUAGCAUUAUCCGGUCCAGUUCGAAAAAAGUUAAAAGGGACAUACUUACAUACCUGAAGAGUUUCAAAUGAACUGGCCCAGGUAUGUAAGCAGUCUGAAGGUUAUUUAUAGCCAGUAUAGGAUUUUCUGAAGAAUUAUGCGAACCGAACCGUACUAGAUUGUUAAUAUCAUAGACCACGUUUUAUGUUGUAUCCGUUAAUGUCAGGAUGAACGAACACGUUUGUUGUUCACAGACAUACCAUAAGGAUGCGCGCACGAGGACGAGCGCACGUCAGUAUGGCCGUGACGGCGUUAACGAUAUUUAUGUUAUAUAGCACGUGCAAUAGGAGUGACUCACACAAACCAGGCGCGCCGGCCGUGUCGUUCCACUCGUAAACAACAGCUGCAACAGAAGUGACUCAUAAGCCAGCUGCGCCGGCUAGUAUAAAAAGGCGGAACGUGCCUUGAAAUGAACAUUCGUUGGACUGCGCUUGCCUGGUGCACUUACUAUAUCCUCGUUACGUUGUGUGAUUCAGUGACUGUUGUACGUACUGGUUAAAGUUGGACAAGUGUUAAAGUGAAUUGUUAAGAUAACAUAUUGUUGAUUAAAUCAGGAAUCAAAUAGUGACAUCGUUUUACUUGGUGUUCAACAAGAUAAUAUCUACCCUCAAGCUUACAUCAGAAGUGAGAUCAGGACUCUACUCUCACUGGCGUGACGUGUUUGAACAUGUUCGAAGUACAGCAAAAAAAAACAUGAUGCAGAUCAGAAUACUAGUAGUGGUACGCCACAAGAGCGUGAAUGCAGCAUACGUAAGUCGUGUAAUAACGUCUCUGUUACCUCGAUGGAAGAUCUGAGCCACGAAGAAAUCGUCACAUCUUACGUUCUGGCUCAUGUUGCCCAGUUUGACUGUCGACUUCAUCACAUGGCAUUUACUAACGGAAAUACAACACGUAACAAGCUAUUGCAAGAAAUUAAGGCAAGUGCAAAUCUCAAGUGAAACUUCGAUCGCAAUAAUGGAUCUGUCAUGACGAGUGGGUAGUUCCGACACGAAUCGUUUUUAAGCCAAUGACUACUGCUAGAGUUACAUGGCACUAGUACAGUAAACCAGGACAUGAGACUGUGAAUUGUCGCUGAAAUUUUAGAAUCUACUCGAUUCAAUACCAAUAAAACUACACGUUCGAUGACUUCGGGCUCCAGCAAGCAAGCAAACAAGAAAGCAAGCAAGUUUCCGUGGGGAAGAAAAAUUGACACAUCUGAAGUCGUCGUGACCUGUAAGAUAAGACGUCCGGUGCGUUCGUGUCUGGCGAUGCGGCGGUGUUCGGGUUCCGCUGGCGGAUGCAGGUUUUUCCGGUGAAGUGCGUGCUUGUGCGUGCUUGACAAGUGUUUGCGGUUGGCUUCCUCAGUGUGGGAGUAACAUCGUGUAAGAGAGGUGGAACCCGUAAAAUUGUAGUUUGCGUGGUGGCUGGUAAGAUUUGUUGCGGUAAGAAGUUUGCAUGGUGGUAAAAUGUCUUGUGAGUCUGCACAGGUAGCCGGAGGUGAGACUUCCGCGGUCGCGGCCCACCCAGUCCGCGAGAACCGGGAGAUCGCCUCGACGGUACGGAGGCCGGCUGACGGGUCCGCCAAACGACGAGACCACGCCUCCAGCACGGACUGCCGAUAUUGGAGCCCCCACGCUCCGGCUGCACUUGCGCUAGGGCGCGCCGCCUCGUAGGAGACUGUGAGGUAUCAUUGAAUAACUGCGAUCGCGCGCUGCCGGCGUCGCAGCGCGGCGACGUUCUCGUGGGUAAGGACGUGGCACAAGACGGGUGCUCCGUAUAGUGCCAUCGACCGCACGGGUACCAUCACCCUGCCUAUUUCUGCCGUGAAGCGGUGGUGUAUUUCGGUUUGAAGGGUGGGGCAGCGGUUGUAACUAUGCUGAGACCUUAGAACUUCUAUCUCAAGGUGUGUGGUGCGUUUGCGCUGUGGAUGUCUAUGGGUUCCAGUAACCACUUAGCACAAGGUGGGCUGUGAGCUCGUCCACACAUUAAUACGAAGAGCAUAAUCAAACGAAAUUAGAUACGAAGUUUAAAGGGCCGUUUAAAGUAGUUGAAGUAUUGGAUGGUGUCGAUUUAAUUUUGACUCUCACACAUUCGCUUAAGGCUCGAGCUACUACUUGCCUCACAAAAAUACAGCCUGCAAAACCUGAACAACCUCCUCAUCCGUGGGCGCCCGGCUCUCGCCUGCAAGUCGGCUGUUACGUGUGCGGUGAUGCGAGCCAUGUAGCUUCUGGGUGUUCCAUGCGCUACAAGAAGAAAAACGACACUGCUCCAGGUGCUGUGGCAGGUCCAACCAGAGACGUCAACGUGUGUUCCAGAGCUUCAGUGUGUUACAGAUAAGUGGUUUUGGCUUCCCCUUUAUGUUCCAUUCAGGGUCAGAAUGUAGUCUUAUAAAACAAAGUCAUAGUAAUUUAUUCAAUGGUAAGCGGUUUCAUGAACAAGUCACUCUUUGAUCUGAAAGUAACUUAGACCAAUCAUGAUGGCAAGAGCACUUAGGGGAUAUUCAACUCGCCCUUAAUAGUGCACGUUGUCGAGUAACAGGGUUUACUUCAAUAGAAUAGACGUUUGCCGUUCAGGGUAGUUCACUUGAAAUAUCUAAAGUUUCAACAGAGUGAUAAUCCCUCUAGAUUAGAUCUCGAUUUAGCACGGUCGGAGACCGGCGAAAACAUAAAAAAGGGCACAAACAGAAGCUUGGUUUAGUCGAGGCAAAGCUAAAGUCAAACUCUUUUCCGCUGGGGAUUUUGUUUUCGUAAGUUGACCGAAAAUGUAAAGGUCCCUUCAACAUUACUGCAGUUUUGGAAAACGAUAGGUAUAAAUUGAGACAUGUAAAUAGUUCUAAUAGAGUGUACAAAUUUCCCCAUGAAAACUUACGUGAAACACCUCGAGGCCCGUCAGGCCUACUGGAAAUUUCUGAAAAUUAUAGUGACGAUGACGUGACGGCGUACACAGAUGGGUUAAUUAAUCUUGUUCAUGAAACUGAUCUUAAUGAUGACGACUCUAUCACUGACAAUAGAAGCGACAUUUUUGUCCGCAAAUAGCGAUACAGCAAACAUAGUCUGUGGGUAGUGAUACAAUGUCUGUAAGCUCAGGCACCUCAGGUGCAGGUGUUGGAAAUGUAGAAAACGAUGGUCGGUCUCGCACUAUUUCUGAAGAAAUUCCGUAUAAAUGUUCUGGUUUAAGAAAUGUUUUAACAAACGCUACCGUACACGCAGAUUAAAAAAAAAAAAAAAAAAAGAAAAAAAAAGAGAAUUGUAUGUGGCUAGAGAGAUGUUAAUCCGGACUAGCAAAAAAAAAAGAGGAAAAAAAAAAAGAAAGUGUGAAGUCAUUGAAGGGUCUGUCCGGUCCAAUGGCUUGGCUAUAGGGAUUUUCAUCCAGAUUAGCCACAACAAUUAGCUACAGGGAUUGCGAUUCGGUCUAGCAUUAUCCGGUCCAGUUCGAAAAACUGAAGGGAUAACAAUUCCGGUCUAAGUUAAAAGGGACAUACUUACAUACCUGAAGAGUUUUAAAUGAACUGGCCCAGGUAUGUAAGCAGUCUGAAGGUUAUUUAUAGCCAGUAUAGGAUUUUCUGAAGAAUUAUGCGAACCGAACCGUACUAGAUUGUUAAUAUCAUAGACCACGUUUUAAGUUGCAUCCGUUAAUGUCAGGAUGAACGAACACGUUUGUUGUUCACAGACAUACCAUAAGAAUGCGCGCACGAGGACGAGCGCACGUCAGUAUGGCCGUGACGGCGUUAACGAUAUUUAUGUUAUAUAGCACGUGCAAUAGGAGUGACUCACACAAGCCAGGCGCGCCGGCCGUGUCGUUCCACUCGUAAACAACAGCUGCAACAGAAGUGACUCAUAAGCCAGCUGCGCCGGCUAGUAUAAAAAGGCGGAACGUGCCUUGAAAUGAACAUUCGUUGGACUGCGCUUGCCUGGUGCACUUACUAUAUCCUCGUUACGUUGUGUGAUUCAGUGACUGUUGUACGUACUGGUUAAAGUUGGACAAGUGUUAAAGUGAAUUGUUAAGAUAACAUAUUGUUGAUUAAAUCAGGAAUCAAAUAG